rnacentral:rRNA from 1 species
CAAUAGCGUAUAUUUAAGUUGCUGCAGUUAAAAAGCUCGUAGUUGGAUUUCGGGUGGGAAUGGCCGGUCCGCCGUUUCGGUGUGCACUUGCUACGCCCACCUUGCUGCCGGGGACGUGCUCUUGAGUUCACGCUCGGGACACGGAGUCGGCGAGGUUACUUUGAGUAAAUUAGAGUGUUCAAAGCAGGCCUACGCUCUGAAUACAUUAGCAUGGAAUAACACGAUAGGACUCUGGCCUAUCUUGUUGGUCUGUAGGACCGGAGUAAUGAUUAAGAGGGACAGUCGGGGGCAUUCGUAUUUCAUUGUCAGAGGUGAAAUUCUUGGAUUUGCUGAAGACGGACUAGUGCGAAAGCAUUUGCCAAGGAUGUUUUCAUUAA